rnacentral:rRNA from 1 species
GGGUUGUGAGGUUAAGCGACUAAGCGUACACGGUGGAUGCCCUGGCAGUCAGAGGCGAUGAAGGACGUGCUAAUCUGCGAAAAGCGUCGGUAAGGUGAUAUGAACCGUUACAGCCGGCGAUGUCCGAAUGGGGAAACCCAGUGUGAUUCGUCACACUAUCGUUAACUGAAUACAUAGGUUAACGAGGCGAACCGGGGGAACUGAAACAUCUAAGUACCCCGAGGAAAAGAAAUCAACCGAGAUUCCCCCAGUAGCGGCGAGCGAACGGGGAGCAGCCCAGAGUCUGAAUCAGCUUGUGUGUUAGUGGAACGGUCUGGAAAGUCCGACGGUACAGGGUGAUAGUCCCGUACACCAAAAUGCACAGGCUGUGAACUCGAAGAGUAGGGCGGGACACGUGGUAUCCUGUCUGAAUAUGGGGGGACCAUCCUCCAAGGCUAAAUACUCCUGACUGACCGAUAGUGAACCAGUACCGUGAGGAAAGGCGAAAAGAACCCCGGCGAGGGGAGUGAAAAGAACCUGAAACCGUGUACGUACAAGCAGUGGGAGCACCUUCGGGUGUGACUGCGUACCUUUGUAUAAUGGGUCAGCGACUUAUAUUCUGUAGCAAGGUUAACCGUAUAGGGGAGCCGCAGGGAAACCGAGUCUUAACUGGGCGUUAAGUUGCAGGGUAUAGACCCGAAACCCGGUGAUCUAGCCAUGGGCAGGUUGAAGGUUGGGUAACACUAACUGGAGGACCGAACCGACUAAUGUUGAAAAAUUAGCGGAUGACUUGUGGCUGGGGGUGAAAGGCCAAUCAAACCGGGAGAUAGCUGGUUCUCCCCGAAAGCUAUUUAGGUAGCGCCUCGUGAAUUCAUCUUCGGGGGUAGAGCACUGUUUCGGCUAGGGGGUCAUCCCGACUUACCAACCCGAUGCAAACUACGAAUACCGAAGAAUGUUAUCACGGGAGACACACGGCGGGUGCUAACGUCCGUCGUGAAGAGGGAAACAACCCAGACCGCCAGCUAAGGUCCCAAAGUCAUGGUUAAGUGGGAAACGAUGUGGGAAGGCACAGACAGCCAGGAUGUUGGCUUAGAAGCAGCCAUCAUUUAAAGAAAGCGUAAUAGCUCACUGGUCGAGUCGGCCUGCGCGGAAGAUGUAACGGGGCUAAACCAUGCACCGAAGCUGCGGCAGCGACACUAUGUGUUGUUGGGUAGGGGAGCGUUCUGUAAGCCUGCGAAGGUGACCUGUGAGGGUUGCUGGAGGUAUCAGAAGUGCGAAUGCUGACAUAAGUAACGAUAAAGCGGGUGAAAAGCCCGCUCGCCGGAAGACCAAGGGUUCCUGUCCAACGUUAAUCGGGGCAGGGUGAGUCGACCCCUAAGGCGAGGCCGAAAGGCGUAGUCGAUGGGAAACAGGUUAAUAUUCCUGUACUUGGUGUUACUGCGAAGGGGGGACGGAGAAGGCUAUGUUAGCCGGGCGACGGUUGUCCCGGUUUAAGCAUGUAGGCUGGUUGUCCAGGCAAAUCCGGAUAAUCAAGGCUGAGGUGUGAUGACGAGGCACUACGGUGCUGAAGUAACAAAUGCCCUGCUUCCAGGAAAAGCCUCUAAGCAUCAGGUAACAUCAAAUCGUACCCCAAACCGACACAGGUGGUCAGGUAGAGAAUACCAAGGCGCUUGAGAGAACUCGGGUGAAGGAACUAGGCAAAAUGGUGCCGUAACUUCGGGAGAAGGCACGCUGGUGUGUAGGUGAAGUCCCUGCGGAUGGAGCUGAGACCAGUCGAAGAUACCAGCUGGCUGCAACUGUUUAUUAAAAACACAGCACUGUGCAAACACGAAAGUGGACGUAUACGGUGUGACGCCUGCCCGGUGCCGGAAGGUUAAUUGAUGGGGUUAUCCGUAAGGAGAAGCUCUUGAUCGAAGCCCCGGUAAACGGCGGCCGUAACUAUAACGGUCCUAAGGUAGCGAAAUUCCUUGUCGGGUAAGUUCCGACCUGCACGAAUGGCGUAAUGAUGGCCAGGCUGUCUCCACCCGAGACUCAGUGAAAUUGAACUCGCUGUGAAGAUGCAGUGUACCCGCGGCAAGACGGAAAGACCCCGUGAACCUUUACUAUAGCUUGACACUGAACAUUGAGCCUUGAUGUGUAGGAUAGGUGGGAGGCUUUGAAGCGUGGACGCCAGUCUGCGUGGAGCCAACCUUGAAAUACCACCCUUUAAUGUUUGAUGUUCUAACGUUGGCCCUUACCGGGGUUGCGGACAGUGUCUGGUGGGUAGUUUGACUGGGGCGGUCUCCUCCCAAAGCGUAACGGAGGAGCACGAAGGUUAGCUAAUCCUGGUCGGACAUCAGGAGGUUAGUGCAAUGGCAUAAGCUAGCUUGACUGCGAGCGUGACGGCGCGAGCAGGUGCGAAAGCAGGUCAUAGUGAUCCGGUGGUUCUGAAUGGAAGGGCCAUCGCUCAACGGAUAAAAGGUACUCCGGGGAUAACAGGCUGAUACCGCCCAAGAGUUCAUAUCGACGGCGGUGUUUGGCACCUCGAUGUCGGCUCAUCACAUCCUGGGGCUGAAGUAGGUCCCAAGGGUAUGGCUGUUCGCCAUUUAAAGUGGUACGCGAGCUGGGUUUAGAACGUCGUGAGACAGUUCGGUCCCUAUCUGCCGUGGGCGCUGGAGAAUUGAGGGGGGCUGCUCCUAGUACGAGAGGACCGGAGUGGACGCAUCACUGGUGUUCGGGUUGUCAUGCCAAUGGCACUGCCCGGUAGCUAAAUGCGGAAGAGAUAAGUGCUGAAAGCAUCUAAGCACGAAACUUGCCCCGAGAUGAGUUCUCCCUGAGACUUUAAGUCUCCUGAAGGAACGUUAAAGACGAUGACGUUGAUAGGCCGGGUGUGUAAGCGCAGCGAUGCGUUGAGCUAACCGGUACUAAUGAACCGUGAGGCUUAACCUUACAACGCCGAAG